UCUCUGAGAGACUUUUUUCUGAUGUUUCGUAUUCAAAAUGGUGAGACAGGGCAAUGUCACAGGACACACUUCAAAAUCAAGGCCCUAAAUUUUCUUGGGGGUCAGCACGGUUGCUCGCUGGCUAGCACUACUGCUUCACAGCGCCAGGAACCCAGGAUCUAACUGCACUCUUGGCUGGCUGUCUGUGUGAGGCUGAACUUGAAGGGAGCUACAAUUCACCUCAGAUGCUGCUGCUCUUACUUUCUCAUCCACUUCGAAAUGAUAUUCACCUAGAGGACAUCCAAAACUGCCAGAAAAGCAUCUUUGAAGUCUUGGAGGAUGUGUCCAACAACUAACAGCUUGGUGGCCUGAGAAACACUGUGAAUCUCUUCUGGCAUGUGUAGCUUGAGCAGUCUGAGCUUUAGACUUGCUGUGGUCAAGCCCAAGCCUGGAUACUGUUUGGACAUUGGCGCAUUGAACACGGACUGCUUCAAUAUCUGAGGAGUCACGCAUGGUGCUGAACAAUGUGCAAUCAUCUGCGAACAUCCCUACUUCUGACCUUAUGAUGGAGGGAAGGUUCAUCAAAAUGGCGAAAGAAAGAAGUCAGAAAUGACUGUGAUGAGAUAUCGAGAUGCCCAAGUAGUCAGUUGUGGGUGUGCGUGAGAAGGCUCUCUAGCAGCAAGCUUUUAUCGAAGACAAAGUUGCACUAUUACUGGAGGGAAUUAUGCCGUAAAUAAAGCACGACAGUGAUGUGUAUACCCGCUGCAUUAUGU